UACGGAGGGUGCUAGCGUUGUUCGGAAUUACUGGGCGUAAAGGGCUCGUAGGCGGCCAACUAAGUCAGACGUGAAAUCCCUCGGCUUAACCGGGGAACUGCGUCUGAUACUGGAUGGCUUGAAUCCGGGAGAGGGAUGCGGAAUUCCAGGUGUAGCGGUGAAAUGCGUAGAUAUCUGGAGGAACACCGGUGGCGAAGGCGGCCAUCUGGACCGCAACUGACGCUGAGGCGCGAAAGCGUGGGGAGCAAACAGG
rnacentral:rRNA from 1 species